rnacentral:rRNA from 1 species
AUACGGAGGAUCCGUAGCGUUAUCCGGAUUUACUGGGUUUAAAGGGUGCGUAGGCGGGCGUUUAAGUCCGCGGUGAAAGUCUGCGGCUCAACCGUAGGAUUGCCGUGGAUACUGGACGUCUUGGAUUCGGUCGGGGCGGGCGGAAUGCGUGGUGUAGCGGCGAAAUGCAUAGAUAUCACGCAGAACGCCGAUAGCGAAGGCAGCUCGCCGGGCCGAAAUCGACGCUGAGGCACGAAAGCGUGGGGAUC